rnacentral:rRNA from 1 species
CACGGAAUUAGCCGGUCCUUAUUCAUGCGGUACAUGCAAUGAUGGACACGUCCAUCACUUUAUCCCCGCAUAAAAGCAGUUUACAACCCAUAGGGCCGUCAUCCUGCACGCUACUUGGCUGGUUCAGACUAUCGUCCAUUGACCAAUAUUCCUCACUGCUGCCUCCCGUAGGAGUUUGGACCGUGUCUCAGUUCCAAUGUGGGGGACCUUCCUCUCAGAACCCCUACUGAUCGUUGCCUCGGUGAGCCAUUACCUCACCGACAAGCUAAUCAGACGCAUCCCCAUCCAUCACCAAUUAAUCUUUCAUCCAAAUUAGAUGCCUGCUUCGGAUGACAUAAGGUUUUAGGCCGACUUCGACGGGUUAUCCCUUAGUCAUGGGUAGGUUGGAUACGCGUUACUCACCGUCGCGCCGGUCGCCAUCAAUGAUUGCAAGCAAUCAUCAUGCUCGCCCCUCGACUUGCUAGUGUUGGUUAGGCCUGUCGCUU